rnacentral:rRNA from 1 species
GACGAACGCUGGCGGCGUGCUUAACACAUGCAAGUCGAACGGAAAGGCCUGCUUUCCCUUGUGGAUUGCGGGUACUCGAGUGGCGAACGGGCGAGUAACACGUGAGUGAUCUGCCCCCAACUUGUGUAUAAGCCUGGGAAACUGGGUCUAAUUCCCGCUAGGACUGCAGGGUGGUGCCUGUAGUUGAAAACGAUGGUCUAGUGGUCGGGGAUGAGCUCGCGGCCUAUCAGCUUGUGGGUGGGGUAGUGGCCUACCAAGGCGGGGACGGGUAGCCGGCCUGGGGGAGUGGACCGGCACGUGGGGACUGCGAUACUGCCCAGACUCCUACGCCCGGCAGCAGUGGGGAGUAUGGCGCGAUGGGCGGAAGCCUGAGGCCGCGACGCCGCGUGGGGGACGCCGGGCUUCGGAUUGUGGCCUCCUGGCGACCGAGAGGAAGCCACCGGGUUGGAAGGGUGGUGACGGUAGUGGGAGAAGAAGCACCGGCUAACUACGUG